AGAGUUUGUUCCUAGCUCAGGACGAACGCUGGCGGCGCGCCUAACACAUGCAAGUCGAACGGAGAUUACAGGCGGAAGUUUUCGGAUGGAAGCUUGUAAACUUAGUGGCGGACGGGUGAGUAACACGUGAGCAACCUGCCUAUCAGAGGGGGAUAACGAUUGGAAACGAUCGCUAAUACCGCAUGACAUAGCGGAACCGCAUGGUUCUGUUAUCAAAGAUUUUAUCGCUGAUAGAUGGGCUCGCGUCCGA
rnacentral:rRNA from 1 species